UUUAAAGCCCUGUCUUUCAGCUCUCCUUUGUCAGAUCAUCUGCAAAGUUCACACCCGGAACCUGUUUGUUCGCACUUCUGGCUGACUCCUGUUUUGUGACCCCGGACCUGGCUGAAUCCUGACUACUCUUCUGCCCCAGAAGACCAGACCUGCUUUCUGCCUUAACGACUCCUGAGUACUCUUCGACCCCGGACUUCCGGACCACCCACCAACCGUCUUCAUAGGAUGCCUCGCUGCCACUGGGGGAGACAGACACGGCACAUUGGACGGAACCCCGGGAACCCCUGGAGCCUUCACUCACUUCCUACUUCCCUUUCCCCUGAAGUUCAAUAAACUUUCUGGUGUGAC